rnacentral:rRNA from 1 species
GAUGAACGCUAGCGGCGGGCUUAAUACAUGCAAGUCGAGGGGCAGCACGAUGUAGCAAUACAUUGGUGGCGACCGGCGGACGGGUGCGUAACACGUAUGCAACUUACCCUAUACUGGGGGAUAGCCCGAAGAAAUUCGGAUUAAUACCCCAUAACAUCAGAACAAGCAUUUGUUUUGGUUGAAAGUUCAGGCGGUAUAGGAUAGGCAUGCGUUCGAUUAGCUUGUUGGUGAGGUAAAGGCUCACCAAGGCGACGAUCGAUAGGGGGCCUGAGAGGGUGAUCCCCCACACUGGUACUGAGACACGGACCAGACUCCUACGGGAGGCAGCAGUAAGGAAUAUUGGUCAAUGGGCGAAAGCCUGAACCAGCCACGCCGCGUGAAGGAUGAAGGCCCUAUGGGUUGUAAACUUCUUUUCUACGGGAAUAAACCUCGGGACGUGUCCCGAGCUGAAGGUAUCGUAGGAAUAAGCAUCGGCUAACUCCGUGCCAGCCGCCGCAGUAAGAC